rnacentral:lncRNA from 1 species
GUUGUUGUCAUAACGAUAUACAUAAGACAAAUUGUAGAUGUAUUUUGUUUUCAUCGUGAUCUAAGUUAAAUAUUCUCAGUAAGAAGAAAAUAAACAACAAACAAAAAUCUUAUCCGGGUCACAAACUAAAACCGAGGAAACCACAUCAAUUAUAAGAGGAAAGCAACGGAUCAAUAAAACACUGAACUUCUACAAAAACAAACGCCAACA